UACGUAGGGUGCGAGCGUUAAUCGGAAUUACCGGGCGUAAAGCGUGCGCAGGCGGUUAUAUAAGACAGAUGUGAAAUCCCCGGGCUCAACCUGGGAACUGCAUUAGUGACUGUAUAGCUAGAGUGCGGCAGAGGGGGAUGGAAUUCCGCGUGUAGCAGUGAAAUGCGUAGAUAUGCGGAGGAACACCGAUGGCGAAGGCAAUCCCCUGGGCCUGCACUGACGCUCAUGCACGAAAGCGUGGGGAGCAAACAGG
rnacentral:rRNA from 1 species